rnacentral:rRNA from 1 species
GUCAUCCUCUCCACUGCCGCCUCACAUUCUUCUCUGGAUAGUUCCCCACCACUGCCUCACAAUCUCCUCCGUUCCCCAUUCUCUCCACCACAACCAGCGCUCCCUGGUCAGGCCGCCCCCUCCCCUUCGUCACCACCGCCGGCGCUCCCUGGUCAGGCUGCCCUCCCCUUUGUCACCAGCGUCGCCGCUCCCUAGCAGGCCGCCCCUCCCCUUCGAAUCAGAUCAUAGAAGUGGCCGAGGAGGUCCUCGAGCUCGGCAUGCUCGCGCCAGUGCCAGGCGCCGUUGGAUGCGGACGCGGAGGCUCGGGACUUGCACGCCCUACUCUACCCUGUUCCUUCCAAUCCGGCCCCGAAGUGCUCGAGGAGGCGCUCGAGGUCGGCAUGCUCACCGGCGACGCUGGGUCCCUCCAUCCUCCUGGUUCCCUCGCCAUCGCCAAGAUGAGCCUCUCCACCCUCUCCCGCGCGAUCGUCCAGGUCCAGGUAAUCUCUCUCUCCCUGACCCUGCCGUAUGCUCCUCCCCGUCAAUUCGGUUAGUCGCCAGGUGCAUCGCCUCACUGAGAUAUCACCAUGAAUAUUCCUUUUCAAGACUGUCCAUAUUUUGUUCUGUUAAAGGGCUUUGUUAGAAAAUCUGAUUUAACUGAGUAUUAUUCUGCUCUAAAUUGCGGCCCCUUCUGGUUGUGAGUGGAUCCAAGAGUUCACAUGAUGCAGUAUCUUUUUGAAAGAUGAUACAUUAUCUUCAUAAAAGAAAGGAAGUUGGAGGAGUUAUUAUUGAAGAGGGAUUCAGUGGUAUGUGCUUCUCAAGAGCUAAACUGGAACAAGAAGUGCAUGACUCUCAUGCCUACACUAACUAAUCAGACUUCCCGAAGGAGAAGAAGGAGGUGCGGAAAGAGGAUGGGAGCAACAAAUCUGAAUCAAAGAGGGUGAGAAUUACUUAUCGAUGACUCGGGCAUCAACUCUUGAUUUUCGGCGGAAGACACAGGGUCAGAACAACUGGUCUGGGCCGUUGCGCCUAGUAAAUGUCGUCAGAAAUAAAUUCCCUACCUACAAGAAUGGUACGAAUGGGAUAGUCAUCAAAUUUGCUGAUGAGCCAGAAACGCCAUGACUUAAGGAGUCUGUUGCCAAAGGGACAGCAGAUCUGCUUGAUCGGCGUCAGCGUCUUUCAGUCCGCGAGCUCGCAAUGAAAUUUGAGAAGGGCCUCAGUACUGCCACAUUAUUAUCUAAUGAGUUAAAUGUAAACAAGUGGCUUUAUUGGAGCGAGACAUCCUUCUGAAGAAUCUAAAGAGUGUAUUGGAGUCACUGAGAGGACAAGUAGCUGGCAAAUAUAAGGAUGAAUUUGAGGAAUCAGUAUCUAUGGUGGAUAUUUUAGCAGUUCAGCUGUCCAAAAGAGAAAAUGAGUUGCUUCAGCAGAAAACCGAGGUCACGAGAAUAGCGACUUCACUGAAACUGCAAAUUUUCAGGGGCCUGCCGAUGGUUUGUUGAACAGCAAAUUUUUAGGAGUUCUGCCUGAUUUUCUUACCAUGGUUAAGAAAAUAACAUGCUGGCAAUGAUUUGCUUCUGAAGAUGCUAGGAGAAUUGUUGACGAAGAACGAACUAAUGCACGCAUGGAGAUUGAAAAUGCUAGAGCUGUUGUACAAAGAGUUCAAAAAGUACUUCAAGAGAAAGAGAACAGUUCACAAAGAAUUGGAAAGCAGAAGAGGAAGAUCUAGAAAUUUGCAUACCUAGAGGAACUCGCCUUCUUGAUGCCCCUUGCUUACAGAAGGUCGACAUCGACUGAGUACGAGCGGCCGUAGGUCACAAGGGGGCGUGGAACUGCUGCAGCCCAUCUGUGACAGAGCAGACUCCUGCGAAUUUGCCCAGCAGUACAUCCUCUACAUGGUAGUAACUUGAAGAAAAUUCUUCCUUUUUGCUUCCAUGACCUGAUAUCCUCCUCGCUGAUGUAUCGAGGAGCCGUGACCCGGCCUCACAGGAAGGGCCAGGGCGAAGACGUAUCCCCGACAGCCAAGACACGGCCACGGUGGUGAUUUUUGAUGGUGAGACAGAGCAGACUCGAGCGACUUUGCCCAGCCAGGAGCACAUAAAAGAUAAUCAGCGUUUAUUCGCUAGCUGGAAUUAAAGGCAACGGCGAGAGAGCAAGAUCAAGGACAACUUCAAAAUUUAAGAAUAUAUGCAAGAAAUGGACGUGAAGCAACAUUUAUAACCAAUCUCCGGACAGUAUUAUACCUGAUUCCGUCGAGUAGACGUUAUCAACAAUUUCAGCUACGGGUAUGAUGCUCGCAUUGUGUUCUGCAUCACUUCUCCCGCUUGUAAGACCUGGAAGACAUUAUGCAUCCUGUCAUAUAUUCAGGUCUCGCAACUAAACGAAAACAUGGUAGGUUGCAUCAUACCUAUAGUUACGUCAUCUUCAGGUUGAUGUUCGCCAACCGUGCUUUUUGAAUUCCCCAUAUGCAACUAUUGAAUGGCAAAAAUCAUGAAGACAGAAAUGGUAGUUAUUUGAUGACAUUCUGGAAGGGUUAUUGUUCUACAUAUAUACUGCAACCUGUUGCUAGCAUAUACUGCAAUUGUAUUUUAUUCUACAUAAAUACUGCAAUGGCACUUUCAUCUACAUCUUCUACAUCUCUGUACUUUCUUAGAAUGCAAGUGUUUUUGUUCUAUCUUCAGUUCAGCACAAGUGGAAACAUACUCUAGGGUCCUGUAUGGUUUGUGUUUUCUUUUUUGCCAUAUUUAUACAAGUGCAGGAUGCAGGAUACCCCUUGGUAAUUUUUUUUUGCCAAUUGCCAUCUGUAAACAUGUGUACUUGAGUCUAGUUUUAACAUGGAAAAAAACCUAAACUGUGUAGAACAGAAAUCAAUCUUGCAGGCGGAUCCAUCCCUGUGAAAGCACUUGCCAUGGCUGUAUGACAUGCGAUGGAUGUAUGGGCUGUGAGAUGUAUGAGAUGCGAUUGUAUGGCAUUUGAGAUGUAUGAGAUGCGAUUGACGUAUGAGAUGGUUUGUAUACCUAUUUUUCGGAUCCGGGACGUGUUCUGGCCGGAUCCUGGACGUGUCCGCUUAUCCUCGUCCAGGAUCGGCGCCGGAUCCUGGAUCAAGGGCGAGGAGUUCAGCGCGGCGGCGAAGUGAUGGAGGGCGGCGGCGACCUGAUCCAGGACCCGCGCCGGAUCGUUGAGGUGUUCAGCGCGGCGGCGAAGUGAUGGAGGGCCGCGGCGACCUUGUCCAGGAUCGACGCGGAUGGAGGACGGCGAGUGAAGCGGGGCGGCGACCUCGACCAGGAUGGAGGGCGGCGAGGAUGGAGGGCAGCGACUGAAGCGCGGCGGCGCAGGGAUGUAGGGCGGCCACGAAGGAAGGCCUCGCUCGAGAACAGGACUCGUCGCUGGUUAACCGUCGUAGGUUUUUUUGUCGCAGGUUAACCUUCAUACGUCUUUUGAGGGUCGCAUGUGGAUAGGUGCGGGUUCGGGCCUCAGGAGGAGGUUUUUUCGGUUUGUGAUGUCUUAGUCAGAGGUGGGAGGAGGUACCAAAAUAAAUCGUGGGAGGUGGGACUAAAAAAACCUGGAAGCGAGACUACCAACUGCUCCCUUAGGAGUAGAGAUGAACAUCUUUUAAAUAGCUAUAUAGUGAGUAGAAACGUUGUGAGGUUUGCAAAUUUUCAAGGAAGCUUAAAUAAUUUGGCAACUUAAAAAAAUCAUUGAAUGAGAUUUAUAUUAAUACCAUAGUAAACAUAAUUAAAUCUACCAAUGUGAGAGGUC